GGUACCAUGGCCGAGUGGUUAGGCAUCGGUCUGCAAAACCGGGUACAGCAGUUCGAAUCUGCUUGGUACCUC
rnacentral:tRNA from 1 species